GAUCCUGGCUCAGAUUGAACGCUGGCGGCAGGCCUAACACAUGCAAGUCGAGCGGAUGAAGAGAGCUUGCUCUCUGAUUCAGCGGCGGAUGGGUGAGUAAUGCCUAGGAAUCUGCCUGAUAGUGGGGGACAACGUUUCGAAAGGAACGCUAAUACCGCAUACGUCCUACGGGAGAAAGCAGGGGGACCUUCGGGCCUUGCGCUAUCAGAUGAGCUUAGGUCGGAUUAGCUAG
rnacentral:rRNA from 1 species